AUCGUUUACUGGUACCUCACUAAAGGAAUGCUGAAGUUUAUUAAAACCCAUGCUCCCCAUUAGGAGGCCAUGAGGAUGAGCAAGAUACUUAGAAGCCACCUCGAUCUGAACGUGUCUGCCAAGCGAUGGGUGUUGACGAGGCCCUAGGGAAUUGUAACCCAGCCCCUCAUUUUCAUAAUGAAGAAACAGAGGUUAUGCCUGGUCCAUAUUUGCCGGGGGAACUAGUUGCAGAACAUGGAUGAGACCUGGGUGUCCUGACUCCAGUCCAGUGAAAGGAGAUACCAGGGGUAUCAGGAGAGAAAAGCAGAUGUUUUGACCCACUUGAGCAGCUGUAACUCAUCAAGGUGAAAGUAUAGGGCAGCCAGCAGGAAAGGCUGGUGCUCUGCUAGUUUGACCAUUCUGACACCCAAACAAAUAUUGCCUGCCGCGGUCAGGAAAGACCCACCUGGUCCACAGGAAACUGUAAAAUACACCUGGGCAUUUCUUUCCUUGGGCCUCCAAGAUGGAUUGAAUGAAGCCACACCAUGAACUGAGCACUGUGUGAUGGUUUACUCAGCAAAUGGCUGCCGGGGUAAUUGGUGAACAAACCACACACACUCUGGAGAGGGCUCAGGCCGGCCGUGUCCAUCCCUCCACACUAGGAAUGGGGGGCAGGGGGUGUGUUCUCGAACAAGUGUGAGGAAUCUGACCCAAGUGGAACGACUUCUGUCGUCAGCAGGUUCUGCCGGUGUAGCCCCUUGGUCCCAUCAGAGUUGGGGGAACUGCUACUUGACAUGAGGCUCUUAUUAUUGCGGAACAACUCUUCUGAAACUGCUCAAAGUUCAUCUUUUUUCCAGCUUUAUUAAGGUAUGAUUGAUAAAUAAAAAUUGUAUUCAUUUACGUUGUAUAACAUGACUUUUUUUUAAGACAUACGGUGUUAUUUGAUAUAUGUGUCCAUUGUGAAAUGAUACCAAAAUCAACUUAAUUAACACAUGCAUCACCUCACAUAGUUACCUUUUUUUUUUUCCAAGUUCAGUUUUAAAAUCCACGGUCACCUGCUCCCUAUUUCGUGCACCUGAAUCUCUUGCCGGUUCCAACUGCUUCCUCCCUACCCUUUUGCUCAGGCUGCUUCCCCAGCUGGAAGGCACAGGUCCUAUACUUUGGCCAACUGCUACAAACCUCUCAAGAUCCAACUCGGGUACCACCUCCUCCGGGAAGCCUUUCCCGACCCCAUCCUUUGCCCGUCUCCCUUUACCACAGCAUGGCUCGUUCUCUAACACGCGGAGCUGGUCACUGGUCUGUGGACACGCACUGGCUCUUCCACCCCCACUUCCCUGCAGAGGGGACCCCGGACACGGAGAUGAACUGGAGAGACAGCCCCCUGACUGCUCGUCCUCCUUAAAUCUAUCCGCACACCGCAGCAGCAUCUGAACUACUGCCCGAGCUAACGAGCUUCUUACAAACCGGUCGGACCACAUCCCUGCCCUCCUUCACGGCUCCCUGGCCCCCGGGCCCUGGGACAUUGCAGCCCCCGCCGUCCCCCAGCGCUGCGCGGGCCCUUCCCCGCGGCCCCACGUCCUCCCGGGCGCCCUGUGUGUGUGCUCCCCUGACCUCACCGCUUUCGCGACUCUGGGCCUCUGCGUUUGGGGUCGUCCCUAUUUCUCCCUUCCUCGCGCCCCUCGAACUCCUCCCCAGCUCGCACACGGCUGCCCCGCGGAGCUCUCCCCAGCGCCCCCGCAGACCCAGCCGCCCUAUCCUGCUGCCGCGCUCCGCGCCUCCAUCACCGCUCCAUCCUCACGGUUCCGCGGGAAGCCCUCGGGGCGGGGCCGCGCCUCAGACCCCUCCGUGUCCCGACACGCUCGGCAAGAGGAACGCCUCUGCCAGGCAUGUAGAGGGCAGCGGGGCAGGACUGCUGCAGAGGUGAAGGGAGCACGAGGGACAGACAGGAGCGCAGAGAGAGGGGCAAGCACCGCGUCCUGGCUGAGAGGAUAACGCAAACGCUGAAUACCUACAUUACACCAGCCGAGGGUCAGCCCCAUGUCCCGCUGAUUUUCGCAUGCAACAACCCUGUGUCAAGCUGAUCUCGUGGUGUUCGCUGAGAGGGGUGAGGAGAGGGUCGGAUGACGCCAGCAGCUGGAAGGGAGGGGGAGGAGGGGCACACAGUUACUGCCCUCCUGGUCCUGCUCUGCUGGGCAGCUAUCACCAAGCAGGAGCCCUGUCCCACUCUGGCAGGACACAUGAGUGUCCCCUUCCUCUCCAACCCCUUGUAGGAGGCAUCAUGGUAUAAUGGGAGAAGCAGGGGCCUCAGAGCCAUAGAGACCUGGGUUCAAAACCCAGCUCAGCUGUUGCUGGCUGUGUGAUCGCAUGCAAGUUACUUAACCCCUCUGAUCUUCAGACUACUCUCCUGAAAAAUAGGAAUUUUAAAAACCCAAAACUUACUCCACAGGAUUAUUCAUUCCUAGAACAAAUUUUUUUUGAGUCCUCAUUUGUAUUAGUUCUGAUCUAGUCAAUGGGAAUAUAGUAGCUUCAUAUAUAAUAAGUACUUAAAUAUUUGCUUCUUUCUUUUCUGCUAUUCAUUCCCUAGUUGAAAGCACAGAAUCCUUAGAGAAAUCCCCUCCUUUUUUCCUCUUCUCUAGUGCACAUUGUUUUGUCCUCCAAGUAAAGAUCACCUAAUAACAAGAGUAACACCUAACACCAGGUACUUACUACCUGCUAGGCACUAUUUGCAGUACUUACAUACUUUACUAAUUUAAUGCUCACAACAACACAAAGAGAUUGAUUUUACAAAUAAGGAAAAGGAGGCACAGAGAAGCUAAGGGAUUUGUCAUGGUCACACAGCCAGUAAAUUAUGGAGCUGGGAUUUGCACCAGGGCUCCUGGGUUCGAGUCCACAGCCUGAGCCAAUACGUUAGAGAUCAUAUAGUUCAGGCCCUCUGCGUGAUAGCGUGUCUUCACAGCUGUCUCUCUUCCCCCAUCCCUCCUUGUCUUUUCUCUUCUCCUCUCUUCUGUUCUUUUCCUCUCAGCUGAAGAAACUGAAGGCUACUUUGGACAGGGUUAGGUGACAGGCUCAAAGUUACACAACUCCUGUGGCCUUUAUCCUCCAUUCCCGGGCCCUUCCUCUGACACUGUGCAACAGUAGACAAUCAGUGUGAAGGCAAACAGCUGAAAUUAAUUACAAUUUUGAGUAAAUAAUUUAUAUAACUUUAUACUCCCCGUUGUGACAACCAUUUGAAGGUAUCAGAUGUAAUGGUAAAAAGAUUCCCAUUAGAUACCAUUAUGCUUCUUUUAGUUUAAUUAAUCCCAAUCUGAAAUGCACUCUUUGUUUUUGCUAGCCUUGUUUGAAUUUCUGCCCCCACAAAUAUUUGUGCUGUUGUUUUAGUUUCAAUUAGCUUCUGGUGUUUUCCUUGGACUGGUUUUUGUGAUGGAAUGGGGGUGGAGUGUUUACAGUCUGACCUGUCAUCUGUGAAGCUUUGCCUCCCCAAACCACCACAGCCACAGCUCAGAGACGACAACGAAGUGCAGUCAAAACAAGCCCAGGGCGCUGGGGAGCCUGUGAGCACUGGCCCCGCUGCAGACUCACUCUGAAGCCCAAGCCACCCGGAGGCAGUCGUCACACGGAGGAGCAUUGCACACAAGGCCUCCACGGAAUUUCCAGAACUUUGCCCUUGAACUGACAUGAGGUCACCAGAAUCUAGAACCUAAUUCCAGGAAGAAUACUUUCUGGUAUCAAGGAGGUACUCAACCCAGAAGAGAUAAGAAAGUCAAUAGGUGCCAUUGAGAAAUUGGGGCAUAAGUUUACAGAGGGUGGUGUAGGUGAUAAACGAAACACUGGAGGCAGAACACUAUUUGCAGACAGAAGAAUUUCCCAGCUCACCUGUAUGAGUCAAUGAACUCCUCUGAGUUUUGAUUUCCUCAUCUGUAGAAAAAGGAGAUACUAAUACUUGGCUUGCUGACCACCCAGGGAUCAAAUGAGGAAAUUAGGCACAUGAGAUCAAUCUGAAAACUGCAAAGUACUCUAGAAAUACGAUGAAUUAUAUUACUGCUAUUCCAUAACUCGUAUAUAAAGAAAGUGGAGUUUCACUGGAAUAACAUAUAUAACAGUGAUUUCCACUGAAAUGCACCAGAAAGAAUGAUGCAACUCAUUGUGAGACUUUUAUUGCAUUUUUAAACCUGGGAGAGACAGCUUUGCACACAUAACAAAACACAGCAAGAAAGCGUCAGACAGGGACUGUGCGCCUGCACCAGCCUGAGUGUUCCAGACACACUGGGAAGGAUGAGGCAGGUGAGACGUGCAGCCUGGAAGAGUCAACUCCUCUGUGUGCACAAGGGGGCAGGCACAGCCACUGGGCU
rnacentral:lncRNA from 1 species